rnacentral:sRNA from 2 species
AUUCUGCCCAAGCGGGGAAGGAUGAGAAGCUUCGACCAAGGUUCGACUUGAGCGCCAGCGAGAGAGCGUUGCCGCAGGCAACGACCCGAAGGGUGAAGCGCGCAGCGCUGAGUAAUCCUUCCCCCACCACCA